rnacentral:lncRNA from 10 species
GAUGUCUCCAUUUCUAAAUUAGCAAAAUGAAAAUAAUAUUAACUACUCACUAGAUCAAUUGAAAUAAUAAAGGUGUAUGUGUCUGGCACAUGGUAGAUAUUCAUUCAUCCAUUUUUUCAUCUUUAGUUUAUUUGGAAUCCAUCAAAAGUUUACAAACCCUGGGAGUUAGGAGAAGGCCACUUUAUUUGGCCAACAGUCCUCUUUCAUCUUAAAUGGAGCAGUAGUUUUAUAAAAUGUUUAUUUCCUUAUCUAAACUGUUCUUUUUCCCCCGGGCCCUUAUGUGCCUUUCUGGGAGCAAAGAAACUCCAGGAAUCCCAGCAAAUCACUCUGCAGAGUGGCCAACAGGUGUGACAUCAGAAGUCCUAAUAGUGGGGCUUUGCAGCUGAAUUUAGCCAAGGAUGCAAACAAAAGUCCACUAUCUAAGCGGAUGUUUUUGGGCUGAGCAGAAGGCACGUCUGUACAGACAAGCAAGCUGCAAUUACCCUACAAAAACUGUCUUUCCUGCUGGACUGGAGCUUCACAAGACCAGGGACCAUGUCAUCCUGUUUAUCAUUCUAUCCUAGCACCUGGGACUGUGCCUUGUCCAGGAAUAAACCUGCAAGGAAGGUGUUGCAGAUUUUUAUCCCUAUGUUGGAAAUGAGGAUUCGGAAGCUCAGAGAACGUAAGCAACAUGCCCAGUGUCACGGAGCAAGGUCAAAACCAGACUUUGGACCAAGAUCUAUCUGGCCUUGGAAGCAUCUCCCCUUUGGCCUGGUCUUUGCUCUGUAUGUCUUGUUGACCCCAAAGAAUAAAGUCACCUACAUGUUUCAGUUGACUUUUUAAUUUCCUUAUGAAUGUCAUCCCCACUCCCAAGUUCCCACGAUAAUCAGAAAGGGCGGUUUCCUAGGCUAUUUCCUUGGUAGUCAGAUUGGGAGGAGAAUGGCACUAAUACUAAUACUAAUAACCAUAAUUAUGAGUAACAUUGAUUGAACACUAUGUUCCAAGUGCUCAAUAUGUUCUGG